AGAUCUGCGUUUUACGCCUGCGUACAACGAGUAACAUUUAACAGCACUGUCUGGUCUUUACUGUGUGUGCUCCAAUUGUCUAUGGCGCAUUUUUUUGGCGGUGUUACCCUACGUAUACUUUUCAGCAAUACAGCUCCAGUCACCGCUAGCGCUGUAAUUUUCUACGAAUUUUACUACAACAAUGCUUUGGUGCUGAUAUCUUAUAAACACAGAAUGAAAAUCUGACUAUAUCUCGGCAUAAUUGAAUAAGGAGAAUUUGGUACGUGAAACUAAAUCCGCAUAUGUAAAACAUGGGGGAACAACCGGCUCAUAUAUUCUAAUUUUAGAUUGUUACAUAAAUUUUAAACACGUCCCCAAAGUGUGUAACCCAGCCGAUUUUCAAACCCAAUGGACCUACACAACACAGUUGUGCAGUUCUGCGGGUAUUGUUAAGAACGAAACAAAGGACAACAGUGAAAAUGGCAGACUGUAUCCGGAAAUGUGCCGUUACAGGCUAUGACGGGGAUGUCGCCCUUUUCAUACCCUUCCCAAGAAGCCAAACUGACAACAAGCAUGGUUAAUAUUCAUCUUUAACAGGAUCCCGGAUAAAGUUGCUACGUGGUUAGUUUGCUCUGCACAUUUCACUCCGGACAGUUUCUCAAACCUUGGACAGUAUAAAACAGCCUUGGCCCAGCGCUUAACACUGAAGAGAGGGGCAGUUCCAACUUUAUUGGCAUCACAACCUUACAUCAUAUCAUCUCCCGCUUACAAAUGAUGUAGGCUGCCAAACAUAUGCUCCUAAUGUAGUAUCCCAAGGAACAACUAUCCUCGAAGACUUUGAGACCUCACUUCCGCAGCAAAGGCAUACAGGUGACGGUGUCAUAUCAAAGUGUGGUGGUAGGCACUACAACUACUUCUAUGUUGUGGAGCACAAAACUGCCACUUACUUCAACACCACUGAAGGCUUUAAGACAAGCAAAAAGACCCCGUCUUGAAUUGCAGGAGGAAGAUGUGGAGGAUGUUUCCACUGCAUGCACUGACCCACAAGAUUUGACCUGUCAUCCUUCACAGUCUGUUACAAAUGUGACAGAGACAGCACAGCUUUCUUCUUUAGACAGUGGAGGAGUCAGCCUGUCAUUGGCAGCACCAAAUUCAGCUGUCUGCUGCCAUUUAUUUCUGUGGAGCUUCCUUUUUGAAGAUGCAAAAGGACAUUCUGUGAUGAAUAGGAGGUACACCACGAUGCACUUGAAGAGCAACACCAUUGCAGACAUACAGCUGGUACAGGUAACCUCUAUUAGCCUAGCCACCACUCUCUUCUCUGCCCCUGAUGCUCCAUCAUGUAAGUACAGAGUUGUCAUCUCUGUAUGUUUUUCUUCCAGGCUUUCAUUCCUUUUUGCCAAGUGGAAGAUCAGUGGGCUGCCACCUGACACAGCCAUAGUUAUCCUUUUGUCCUCUUGCCACUAAUGUGUUUCCUUCUGAGUCAGUAGAAGUGUUUCUUCUCCCUUUUCUGUGACGUGUCAGUGUGUUAUUUCUGUUUAACUGUUCAACUCAAGUCUUGACAAAGAAGUGAGGAAUAACCACCUCUUUGUUUCCCCAUCCUGCAGCACAUCAGCAAAACUUUUAGGGUAUUGCCUCACAAUUUUCUGUGCAACAAUUAGGCACAGAGACCUGGUAGGAUUUAGGUCAUAUUUCCUCAUUUCAUCAAGUACAAUACGGAUGAGAUGUUGGCAAUCUGCUGGUGGCCUUUUCUUAUUAGCUACUGCUGAUUGUAAAUCCACAGGCAUCCUCUUUCAGGGAACCUCGAAUGUUUGGGUCUAAUUUUUGCCUGUUGAUGGGAAUGACCUGCAGCUAUUAGAAGAGCCAGGUACUGGUGAUGGUAAAUUCUCUUGUUGUUGGUCAGUUUUCUUUUCUGCAUUUUAGAAUAAGAACACUGUUAUUGCCAAAGUGAAGCUUAUUUCUGUUGCACUGUAUACAAUUUACACAGGCAUGCAAGUUAAUGAACUAGCAAUUCAAAAAGCAGAUUUACUCAUGUUGUUACCUUUUAUGUGAUAACUACAUGUUUAGUCAGAACAAAAUCUUAUGUUGGUUUUAUAACUUUACCUUAUCUUAUGAUUUCCAGGCAGAUAGAAGCUUGCGGCACUGAAUGGGUCUUAAAUGAUCUACAAGGUGCUUUUAAUUUACAAAUGGAAGGUCUAAUUUACUUUCCACUCCUUUUACUAACACUAGUUAAAUAAUAAUCUGCUUUACAAUUUCAGCGGGGACAUUUGGUAAGACAGCUGUAAUAGCUCCCAGAAUCUCUUCACUUGAACAUCUACAAGGAGAAAAUGGCAUGAUGGAGAACUAUUAGUGACAGGUCAAACACUCUGUAUUCAGGAAAAGGAUAGUAUUCUACCAAGUCUUCUUGCUUAACAUGUACCCAGUGUGGACUAUGCAGCACAGAACUCACAGUGAAUGCCCUGAUCAAUAAGACAAACAGAAUUAUAGUUUUCAGUUCUGAAAUAAAUAUCCAGAUUGUUCUUAACAAGCACAAACUUGAUUUUGCCAAAAAUAACACUCAUCCUCUUUGGCAAUAAUGACAUACAUAUUCUUUUUGUAAUUUGUGCCCUUGAGAGUGACUUCACUUGCUGAAGCAGUAUUCUCAGGUUGGAAAUUGAAAUUUGCGACUGACUGCUUAAUCUUUUCACAAUAAUUAUCAUGGAAAUAUCUUGCCUUUAAAACUGCAAUAAAUGGUGGAAAACAGCUGCUUUCACUCAAGUAGGCUUGUAAGAGUUGGUGCCACUCUACUAACGUUCCACACAAUUUUUUAAAAUUCUGCAGUCUUCUUGAGCAUUGCUUGAAAUAAGAGUGCUUGCUCUCAAAACGUGAAGUCUAAAGACGUAUCAGUGGACCAAAGUGAACAUUUCUUUAUUAAUGGGUCAACUUAAGAAUUCAGCAGGGGAUCAAAUAAUUAUUUCCCUCACUGUAGGUAACCUCUAUUAGCUUAGCCAUCACUCUAUUAGCCUAGCCAAGUGGUGCAGGAAAACCAGGAAAGUUAACUUUUCUGAAAAAAACAGUAAUCAAUAAGUACGUACCUGCAAGAAUGCUAUUUGAUCACUAGAAAUUUCUGGAGCACAGACAAUUUCAACAAUCUGUCUAAGCUGUAAGAUUAGCUGCCAGACCUCAUUAUCAACAGGAGAAUCGAUCUUGUCACCAAUAAGCAAGGGCAAUAGCCUCAAAAAGCACCAGUUCUGUGCAGCAUUCUCUCCUAGCUUUCCACUACCUGUAACUGCCUCAGAGGGUGUGUCAUUGCUGUCGUUUCCAAGAUAGUGAAAUUGAUUAAUCCGUUGAUUCAAAUCUGAAUAAGUGAAAUGUUUCACUUCACUCACAAGAUGACUCAAAAACAAUGCUAGAUCAGUAAACGCUAUUUCUUCAAACAGGUCAUGGCCAAGGCAAGGUGGUAAACCAGACUGACAAACAUGGAAGUAUGUGAGUUUAUUUAAAUUUUAUCCCACAUUUUGUUUGUCCAGGCUGUAUAUCUUGUAAAUGCAUUCCAUACAUCUCUCUUGUUCUUAAUGGAGCCAGUGACAGGGGUGAACGCAAAAACGUGUCUCUGUCAAUUUCACAAAACCGACAAAAAUGUGAGCUCUUGCCGAAAUUUUCAACAAACCCUCCUAUGCUGUGUGAGCCAAGAUUGUCACUUGCAAUUGCACACACACUGGCUUUGAAAAUGCCCUCCACAAUCAAUUCCAUUGUCCUCUAUGUUUUUUUAGAUCUGUAAUUAGUGCCCUCAAACACUAAAUGCUGAUCAAAGUGUGUAAAGUAAGACUAGCUGCAUUUGAUCAAUUAUGUGGAAGUACUUUGUGUUUUUUUCCUUCCAGAUCCAAGUGGAUUGCCACUAAAUGACUCUUAGUACAGAAUGAGAGCUAAAGAGUUAGUACAAUUUUGCAGCAAUGAAUUUUCUUUGAUCUUUCCACCCCAUACAUCCUGUAAAAUAUGCUUAGAUGCAAUACGGCUAUGAGAUUUGUCAUACUGUUCACGGAAAGCUUGACACUGAAAAAAGGAUUUUUAAGUUUCCUUUAUAGGAACAUAGUAUAAAAAGCACUCCUUCCCUAUUUCAUUUUGACCAAGACAUUGGCAGUGGCCAGGGACGGAUUACGGACCGGGCCAGCGGGGCCGCUGCCCAGGGGCCCUUGGGGUGCAGGGGGCCCGUGGGGCCCCUAGCCCAAAACAAUUUGCAACACUUAUCAACAAUGUAUUUUCGUUUGUCUAUUUUAGAGGGCCUACAUUCUUUGAUCCUCUGCCUACAAGGACCCCUGAUCCUAUAGGGAGGGCGUUUGGUUGCCAAGGGCCCUUGAAUUGUGGUGGUUGUGGUGGUGGUGGUGGGGGGUGGUGGGGGGGGCCCUCGCGAACGUUUUGCCCAGGGGCCCACGCAACCCAUAAUCCAUCCCUCGCAGUGGCUCAACAUAUCCAGUGGUGCAAAAAUGGGGUAUGCAGUAUAUGCGGUGCAUACUGGCGCACUGCCAGGGGGGGGCGAUGAAACGAGACAGCGUAUGGCUAAGCCAGCACCAAACUGAAAACAAGACAGUGUGAAAUACAAUCUAAAACUUAACAUUAAUUCUAAACACAGACACUCCUCUACUUACGAAUAAGAUGCAUUCUGAACGGCCGUUCAUAACUUGAAAUGUUCGUAAGUCGUUAUUCAACAACAUUUUAAGGGUAUACGCAAAUACAAAGAACUAGGAUGCUGGGAGUACUCAUGCUACGCUGCUGCGAAGUGGGAGUAGCGCCAUGCCGUACAAGUUGGAAUUGGCACGCAGAAAAAAAUAUGUUGCGGACAAGAAACAAGAGCCCAAUGAACACAAUUUGGACUUGCAGUCCUCUUCGUUCAUGUGUGUGAAAGUUCGUAAGUUAAAAGUUUGUAAGUAGAUGAGCAUCUGUACUUGUAUUAUAGAGAUAAACAAGCUGGGCUAUACAUGAUUACGGCCUCAAUGUGAGCACACUCGAUUAACAAAAACAGCAUAGAAAAACUUGCCUUUUCAUUUAAUGUCCAGUGUUUCAGCAGUAGUUCUUGGAGAAGUGGCGAAAUUCACAUCCCAUAAUGCACUGAAUUUCCCGGUAACACUGCUGUAAAUAUGUUGAAAGCAACGAAACUUCCCACAAUGCCUAGCAUUUUACAGUAAAAUGCAGUAAAUACAUGAAUACAGUAAUUUACUGGUUUAAAAAUACAGCGAUUUUUUUUUUUUUCCUUUUCUUUUUUUUCUUUUUUACUGUGUAUGUAGUGAAAUGUGUAACUCUGAAAUUUAGUGAUAUGUAUAUUAGAAUCAUGAAGUGUCAUCUUUCUUUGUUUUAGGUUCACCCCAGGCUUUUUUAUGAACUGUAAUGUAAUAUCAGACAGAGUGUGAUGAAUUUCUGAAGGCAACAGCAUUUUAAAUAUGACCAUUUCUUUGAAACGUCUCUUGAAAAAUGUAGGUGCAGUUUGUCAGGACUAAAGACUGGUGAACCUUUGGUGAACAAGUCCUGUGAUUAAAGCAUGUGGUGCUGCUUAAAACAUUGUGUUGUAUGCUGAAUGUUUCUUGCCAGUAGAGUAGAUGUUGCUAUACUGUUCCAUUAAGAUAUUCAAGUAUUAUUAUUUUUUAAAUCAUUUAAUGAAAUUGUCACGAUCGGGGCGAGCAGAACGGCGAUCGUGCGAGCAGGCAGGCAAGAAACAGGCUGGAAGCCGAAAAUCAGGGCAAACAAGGGGUUUAUUCGGAGACCAGGGCAGGACAGGACACUGCUGGAGAUGAUCAGGGAGGCACAUGUGGGUAAUCAGGGGGGCGUGGCACACGAGGAGUGGAUGAGUCGGGCAUCACAGAACCCCCCCCAAAGGCGCGCUUCACCGGGCGUGCCUAGGAAGGGGCGAAGGACGGGACGAGGGAAAACCUGGACCUGGAACAGAAGAACAAAAGAAUCAACGCUGGACAGGAAACAAGACCGAAGUAUAAAACAGAGCUAAGGACAAGACGUAGGACAAGACCUGACAGAGGAUAGGGAAGGCAGAAAGACAGAUCAGGAAGGGCGGAAUGGAAGGGACGGGCGGAACAAAAGGACUGGGAGUGCAAGGAGGGAACAUCGGGGGACAAGGAGCAGAAAAGGGCAGAAUGAAAGGACAAGGCAGCGGACGCGGGAGCGGUUGCUCGGGCGCUGGGUCAGCAGACAGGAGCAGUUGCUCCAGCGCGGGCUCCGCCGGCAGAGUCGGUCGUUCGCCUGUGGGAGCCCCCCCUCCAAGGCGCGCGUCUCCAGGCGCGUCAGUGAGGGAAGGUGGUUGUACGGGCGUUGGAUUCGCGGGCAGAGGCAGCUGCUCCGCCGCGGGGUCCGCCGGCAGAGGCGGCCGUUCCAGCGCAGGUAGCUGCGGCGGUGACCGCGCGGAAUGCUUUGGUGGCAGGAACGAAGAGAGCUCCUCAGGCCCGGCUGUCACCGCUAGUCGCGGAGGCGUCUGCCCAGGCUGUUCUGUGGCCCAGUGUUUUCUCCGGAUUGGAGAAGCUGCUGGGGGAGGCAGCUUAGCAGAGCUGGGGCCCUUCGGGGUGAUCGGGAUGUCCUCCCGAUUCUCUUCCAGGAGAGACGCCGGGACGAGGGUGCACGCCCCUAGGGCGAUCGCCGGUCUUCUCCGGCGCAAGGCGGUGGCAGGAGGCGGCGCUACGUCCGAAAAAAUGGAUGGCGGAAGAAUGGACUCCGGCUCUGGGUAAGGGAAGAGGUAGGGAUCCUCUUCCUCGCUUGAUGGCCAGAACAUUGACACGGGGCAGGAACCCCGAGGGAUUGGUCCCAGGACUGGGGCCAGGACGCGUACCUCCUCCUCCUCCUCCAAAGGGAGCCAAAGUCUGGAGAGUGAGCAAGCUCCUAGUUGGAUCGGCUCCUCUGGGAUCCUCCGUCUUCUCCGUUUAUUUUUCUUUUGUAGGUCCGUCAUUCUGUCACGAUCGGGGCGAGCAGAACGGCGAUCGUGCGGGCAGGCAGACAAGAAACAGGCUGGAAGCCGAAAAUCAGGGCAAACGAGGGGUUUAUUCGGAGACCAGGACAGGACACUGCUGGAGACGAUCAGGGAGGCACAUGUGGGUAAUCAGGGGGGCGUGGUACACACGAGGAGCGGACGAGUCGGGCAUCACAGAAAUAGGUAUAUAUCUCAUCAUUGAUGACUGUGGUCCACCUAAGUGACAAAUAACCCAUCCUGGAUGGAUGAUUCUUCAAGGCCUGCUGUGGGAACCGCAUUGUGUAGCAUUAAGAGAAAAGGAGUAUUACAAAUGAGAAGUCACCCUGGCCCCCUUGUACUCAUUUUGGAUGCUUAAAUUACUAAAUUGUGAUUUUAAUGGUAAUCUGUAUGAUUUAAUGGUCUGAGUGAGUCUCCAGUACUACAUGAAUUAUAAACUUAAAAACUCUUAACUUAAUACUAUUUUCUUUCUUGAGUUGAACUAGUUUGUGUCUAAUUUUUAUUUUAUUUAUUUCUUUGCCGCCCUUGUCUUAAAGGCUAGAGGAGGUCUGUGCUUCUGACAUGGCAAUUUUUGGUGUUUGUCACUGAACUUACGUAAAAUUUUAAGACAGGUCUGUGAACUGUGCUUGCAACAAAAAUGUCUAAAAGGCUAACUUUUAUGGUGCAGUCAGGAAAAAGGUGAUGAUCCAACAGCUCAGCGAUGCCAGAAAGGAACAUCAGGCUGACGCAGAAGAGAUUGACCGGAUGAGAACUAAAACAAUUGUAUAACGUGAAGUCAGAAUUCAGAGCACCCUAUGAUUCAGCGAGGUCUCCAACUUCCUUUCCGACAGUGCUGUCUCCCCCAAGGCAUUCAGACCUCACCCAAGGGACCUCUCAUCAGGAUGAGGUAUCUCCUUGCCCAUCACCGGACCCUGAGGAACCAAGCACCUGGAAGGUUUCUCGAAGAAGAAGACGACACGGCAAAUGUAAGGCUUACUGAAGCGAACUCCACACCAGCAUUGGGUUACCAAUAAGGAGCUUGAUAAAGUAGCUCGGAAUAUCAACACAUUUACCCCUAACCCCAGGGGGGGCCACAACAUUCAUGCUUACCUCCAAGACAUUGACUUCCAUCUCCAAAGACUGGACAACGUGAAUAAUAAGGACAGGGUCUACCUCAUCAGGAUCACAUCUAGCUUGGAGGUCCGCAGCUUCCUGGAUCAACAGCCCAGCCAAAUCAAGGCCGACUCCAAGCUGCUGCAUGAAGCGCUGACUUGAGAGUUUAUUGAUCCUCAGUUGGUACAAAGUAUUGCUGUUGCACUAGAUAUCAAACAGGGCAAACAAAGAAGCACCCCAAACCUACUACAGUCACCUUUGUAGAGCGUACUUUGAAUGUGCUUAACCGUAUUUUCCAAAAAUGAGCCAGACAUGAAAGAAGAUGUGAACUUCAAGGCUCUCUUCCUUAAGAAUCUCCACCCAACCAUAAAUCACUACCUUGGGCUCGUGGCUUAUUCCCGAGUCAACAACUGUGUGACCUGGCAAUGAAGGCAGACCACAAGCAAAGAGCAGCAUCCGAGAAAGCACCUAAAGCUAUGGCAGUGCUGAAAUUUGGCAUUACAGACUCCAACCUGUCAUUGGAAACUGGUGUAGGAUCACACACAUGCAUAAGCCAGGGCUGAGAUAAGGCUCAGCCUGCUGAGAGGAACUCGUUGGCCUAGGCACAAAAGGGGGUUAGUGACCCCACACACACACACACACACACAUACACACACACAUAACAAGGGAGGCCAGCAUUCCAACUUUUAUUGCUUAGAGAUUUAGGGACCUACAGACAGCAGAAUAGACCUCAAGGAUAGGGAUACCUCAACUUGGUACGCAACUCCCUUCCUGUCCAUCCUGCCUUUCAAACCACAGACUCACCCAACACCCUAAAAAAAGCUCUCUUUUAAGUUUGGCUAGUGUACACCCUGUAUAUGUGCUUACUUAUUAUUGCUUGUCUCAAAAUCCAUCUAGGUUAUAUUUGUUGUGUCCUUAGACAAUCUUAGUGUUUUGUGUGCCACUCUUAUAACCAUGUUUUCACAGAGUAUCACCUAUUUUACCCUUCACACUUGAACCAUUACAUAAAUAUGGAUAAAUAUACACGUCUAGCUACCCCUGCAUACAUGCUCUCAUGGUUAUACCAGAGGAAUUGUGAACAUUUAUUUUACUUCCGUACACAUGGGAGAAGACAUUUAAAUUACCUGAACUAAUUUUUUCUUGUGAGACCACGGGGGACCAGGGAACCAGGAGAAAGACUCAAGGAUUCCGGUAAACGAGGGAUUUACUGAGGGUAGACACGCUCAGGAACAUAGAGAUGUCAGACGUUAAUGACAGAACUGGGAAUGUCCAGUGAUUACCAUGUUUGGGCCAGUGGAUCUUCAGACCAAUCUACAUGUAAGUUAUGAGAUGUUUUUUUUUUAUCUGUAAUGCUUCAGGGAAGUUGAUAGUGAAGGAAUUAAGGCUGAACAUAGGCAAUGCUUUGGAAUGCUGACACCAAAUUUGGCAGAGGUUGUAGGGGCCAUACCCUUAGGAUCUGCAAGCUUAUGAUGGGUUUGGGUUAGCAUGAAGAUUCUCAUUUUUCUUGUUUCUUUAGACAUGGCUGAGGUCAAGUGAGGUGAAAAUUUUGUGUUCACGCAUAGGCAUUUUUGGCGAAUUCACCUAACAGGAAAUAAAACCAUGUCUUGCAAUGCUUUAACACCUGGCUAUUCAGUUGGUGGCCUGCAGGGUCUCAAAUACUGGCAAUUUGAGUAGGCUAUUUAUUGCUUUAAUUUUUUUUAGUAAAAUAAAAUAAUAAUGUUUAUCAUUUAAGUAGGAUCCUGUGUCAGGCAAGUUAGAGUCGCUCAUAAAUGGACCUAUGCAUAACUGUCCCGGACCAGUCAAUUAAAAACAAGUCAUCCCUGGCUGACAUCACUACUCUCCACUUUAAAAUCACUGUGUGCUAUUCUCGGCACCUGUGGUCCUGUUCUUGUUAGCACGUUAGCCUCAGAGAAAAUGUCUCUUUCUACUUUAAAAGUAGAACAGGCAAUUCAUAUGUGUUUAUAUCUGUCUGUGCAAUGCCCAUGUGUUUAUAGCGAGUGCAUAUUGGUGUAUAAAGAAUAUAACUUAAGAUACACACCUGAGUUUAUUGCUCUUUCUGAAUUGAAAAAAAGUAAUUUCUCUCAUUAGAUAGUUAAAAUUGGCUAAGUAGGCUACAUAUGUUAAGUAGUAAUAAGGAUUGAGUUUUGAACAAGUUGUAAGUUGCAGUUUGAAUAGUGUCAUGAUAUUCACAUAAUAAUGCCAUAUUAUGCACUUGCAGAAGAGCAGCGGCUGUACUCCUGAAUAACCGAGCUGCUCGUCCUAUCUCUACGGGAGAGCUCAGCCACCCUGCGGAGGAAACUAGAGCCCUGCGCGGGACUGUUUUUUAAUCCUGCUCCCGCGGUCUGUCUCUGUCACUCCCGCUUGCUCCCCCAAUAUUUCUGUCCAAUCCCGCCCGCACCCGCAGAUCCAUUAACGGAUAUACUGUGUGAUUAAAUAAAUUUAUAUGCAUUACAUUUUUAUUCCAAUAGAACAAGAACUGAAUAAAUAAAACGAUUUCAACAAAAAUCUUUGAAUAGUCCAAAUCUGUACAACAAAUGUUUAAAUAUCACAUUAUUAUAAACAAACAAGAUCAUCUUAAAAACAGAAGAGAACCCUGAACCCCAUUUCAAAGAAAUACAUUCAAACUAGCUGAACAUCACAACUUAAUACAAUGGCUCAGAACAAACAUGAAUAUAUGACACAAAAUAAAUGACAUCAGUUAUAUUCUCCAUCCUGCCAAAAAUCUUGGGACCCGCUGUCUAUUUUUAGCCACCCGCUCCCGCCCGAGGCAACCUUAAAACCACCCGCUCCCACGAGAUUUCUUUUGGGACUAGCGGGAUUCCAGUCCCAAUGCAGGGCUCUAGAGGAAACCCAUUUUCGCCGCUUGUAUUCAUGACCUCGUUCUUUUAGUCACCACUACCCACAGCUCAUCAUAGGAACGUAGAUUGACUGGUAAAUCGAGAGCUUUGCCUUUUGGCUCAGCUCUUUCUUCACCAUGACAGAUCGAUGCAGCGCCCGCAUUACUGCUGACGCCGCACCAAUUCGCCUAUCGAUCUCCCGCUCCAUCCUUCCCCCCCGGGAAGGACCUCCUCCCCGACCUGGAGAGAGCACUCCACCCUUUCCCAGCUGAGGACCAUGGUCUCGGAUUUGGAGGUGCUGAUUUUCAUCCCAGUUGCUUCACACUCGGCUGCAAACUGCUCCAGUGAGAACGGUCUGGUGAGGCCAACAGAACCACAUCAUCUGCGAAAAGCAGAGACCUAAUCCUGAGGUCACCAAACCAGACAACCUCAACGCCCUGGUUGCACCUAGAAAUUCUGUCCAUAAAAGUUAUGAACAGAAUUGGUGACAAAGGGCAGCCCUGGCAGAGCACAACCCUCACCGGAAACAAGUCCGACAUACUGCCGACAAUGCAGACCAAGCUCUGACACCGGUUGUACAGGGACGGAACAGCCCUUAUAAGGUAGCCCGGCACCCCGUACUCCCAGAGCACUUCCCACAGGACUCAAAUGCCUUCUCCAAGUCCACAAAACACAUGUAGACUGGUUGGGCAAACUCCCACACACCCUCCAGGACCCUGCUGAGAGUAUAGAGCCGAUCCAGUGUUCCACGGCCAGGGUGAAAAUAGACCGGGGAGGCUGAGUAGUGUGAUCCCGCUAUAGUUGGAACACACCCUCCGGUCCCCUUUCUUGAAGAUAGGGACCACCACCCCGGUCUGCCAAUCCAGAGGCACCGCCCCCGAUGUCCAUGCGAUGCUACAGAUGCAAGCCAACAGCCCUGCAACAUCCAGAGCCUUGAGGAACUCCGGGCGAAUCUCAUCCACCCCCAGGGCCCGGCCACCGAGGAACGUUUUCUCCAGCUGUCCAAAUAGGUCAUUAAAUAAACUCCAGCUAGUCCAGAAUGCAGCAGCCAGAGUCCUCACCAAAACUAAAAAAUAUGAUCAUACUACCCCAAUUUUAUCUUCACUGCACUGGCUGCCAGUUAGAUUUCGUGUUGACUACAAAACACUGCUCUUAACCUAUAAAGCUGUAAAUGGUCUUGCACUGCAGUAUGUGAGUGACCUCAUUUGCAACUACAUUCUGAAUUGUACACUUAGAUCACAAGGUCUUCUAUCCAUACUCAGAAUAGAGAAUGUUACUUUUGGGGGAAGAGCAUUUGCUCAUAAAGCAUCACAGCUAUGGAAUUAACUUCCUAUUAGUGUUCAGAACUCAGACACAAUUUCUGCUUUUAAGUCAAGGCUUAAGACGUAACUCUUUAGCAAGUCUUUUGAAUAGUUAAAUCCCCUUUUCUAAAGUGAAUGGGAAAUCUGGAGACUCAAAGUCAUUUGAGAUUAAAGGUGAAUGGGGGGGAUUGGUGCUGUCGUCCUGCCACUCUCGCCGAUCACUUAAGCUGUGGACAGCAGGUAGGCUUGACGCCAAAACCCCUGGAAACCCUCAUGUCUGUGCUUCCUUCCAGGUCUCUCUUUUAGCCAGGCUGUCAUAGUUACUUUAGUCCUGCCGGAGGUUAGGUUAGGUGUAGGGCAAUAACUCUUCCCCAUCUUCUUUUCCGAGCUGAUACUGAGCUGACUCUACACCAUGUGAAGCCGCACCUGGACUCCUGGAGAUAAAAACAUGAAACCAAUUGGGACUUUAUAACUAUAUGAACAUUAAUGAAUGUCAACAAAAAUGCAGUUUCAUGCUCCCCGGUCACCCAGAGGAGGAUGGGGUACCCUUCCGAGUCUAGGUUCCUCUCAAGGUUUCUUCCUGCUAGAGGGAGUUUUUCCUUGGCACUCUCGCCUCAGGCUUGCUUGGUAGGGUUCUGGCAGGUUAAAUGUAAAAUGCUUUGUGACAAUGACUGUUGUUAAAAGUACUAUAUAAAUAAAAUUGAAUUGAAUUAAAUUUUAACCACCUCAGCGACUUCCACCCCAGAGAUAAGUGAGUUCAGCCCCAAGUCCCCAGACUCUGCUUCCUCAUUGGAAGGUGUGUCGGUGGGAUUGAGGAGGCGUUCAAAGUAUUCCUUUCACCGAUCCACAAUGUCCUGAGUUGAGGUCAGCAGCGCCCCAUCCCCAACAUAAACAGUGUUGAUGCUGCCCCACUUUCCUGCCCUGAGCCACCGGAUGGUGGACCAGAAUCUCCUCGAAGCCGCCUGGAAGUCGUUCUCUAUUACCUCACCAAACUCCCCCGUACCCAAGAUUGUGCCUCAGCGACCAUCGAAGCCGCAUUCCACUUGACCCGCCGGUACUCAUCAACUGCCUAGCCCACUGGCUAAAAAGGCCCGAUAGGACUCCAUCUUCAGCUUGACAGCAUCCAUCACCGCUGAUGUUCACCAGCGGGUUCAGGGAUUGCCGCAGCGACAGGCACCGACCACCGGUUGGUUCUGCCAAACGUUCCUAACAGACCCGCACUAUACGCUUGGGCCUGCCAGGUCUGACCAUCUUCCUCCCCCACCAGCGGAGCCAACCCACCACCAGGUGGUGAUCGGUUGACAGCUCCGCCCCUCUCCUCACUCGAGUGUCCAAUACAUGCAGCCGCAAGUCUGAUGACAUAACCACAAAGUCGAUCAUUGUACUGUGCCCGAGGGUGUCCUGAUGCCAGGUGCACAUAUGGACAUCCGUAUGUUUGAACAUCCUCCGUAUGUCCUCCCAAUCAUCCCCCUCCAGGUCUCACUGUCAUUGUCCACGUGAGAACAUUGAAGUCCCCCAGCAGAACAAGAGAGUCCCCAGGAGGAGUGGUCUCCAACACCCUUUCCAAGGACUCCAAAAAGGCUCCUGACUCCUAAUUUGGGUCAAAGGAAGAACAAAAACAGGAGAACAUGCGAACUCCGCACAAAUGGAGCCAUGGCAGAGACUCAAACACUUGUUCCAGGGAUGUGAGGCAACACUACUAAUGACUGCAUUAAUGUAAGAAUGUAGAACUUUGCAGAUGUAAUUAUGAUCUUAUUGUGAUCAACUUUAAAAGAUCUGGAGUGAUUUGCCGACUGAAGGGGUGCUGUAAUAGCAAACUUUACAUUCCUACUCAAACUUCUGAUGUCUUUGUAGUAAAAUAAUGAUUCUGAUUUUGUAUAAUUCUUUUAGCCCUGCUGAAGUCAACUUUUCAUGGUUGCUCUAUCACAAUAUAAACAAUUGUGAAUAAUACAGAAACCCAAGGACACACUGAUAGCAUUUUCCUUGGCUGAUCCUGAUUGCUGUUUUUUUUUAAGCCUGACCUACCAAUUCUGAUCCUGUCCUAUUCCUAUUUUCUUAGUUUAAUAAUUAUUAUCAGAUAUUUUAAACACUUCUUUUUGACCAUAGCAUCCUAGAAGCAAAAUACGUUUAAUAUCCUGUCACGACAGGACACAUGAAAGGAAUGACAAUGCCACUGAUUUCAAAACCUGAAGGGGACUUUAUUUCAUAACUGAAUCUUCUUUUACGUGAUGGGCUGGCCCCCCGUCCUGGGUUGUUCCCUGCCUCGUGCCCGUAGCUUCCAGGAUAGGUUCCGGACCCAGAAGGAUAACUGGUUUGGAAAAUGGAUGGAUGGAUGAAUGUUCUUUCUACUCUAAGUACUAAUAUAUAUCUUGCUCCUUGAAACUGAAGCAGGCAGGGUUUGUUGGAUAUAAUGGGUAUGGCUCUCUCAGGGGGAGAGGUGCUGUUCUUGGAAGAUGCUUUUGUCUGCUUGAGUAUGUUCAGCUUCUGAAGUUGGGGAGAGUGCUGGUAACAUCACCCCUGCCUGUCUGAGAUAGAUUAGAGUCUCCAAUGACCUUUGUCACUAUGCACCUCUAGCAGGGAAAAAAGUCACUAGCCAGGGUACAUAAUGUGGCUGGCUUCCUUUCUUCUGGUGGCAGGGUGCGACAUCUGCUGGCCAAACAGGUACAUAAUGGACAUGAUAGGGAUAAAUCCUGACCAAAUCUUUUCAAGUAAAAUGUCAAAUUAAA